rnacentral:lncRNA from 1 species
UGCAUCACCAGCCCCAGGCUACUGAGUGUGGGAAGAGCUGCCCAGGGCUCUGUGGGCCCCGGAACUGGCUGGAAGCUGUUGCCUCUGACCCAGAGCUACCCCUUGCACGACGGAGAGGAACGUAAUGAUCAAGGCUGGUCUCCUGGGCGUCUUUGGACCUGGAAAAGGGAGAGGAAUUACAAAUGUUUCGUUGCUUGCUGAGAACACAAAGAGGGGAUUAUGGCCGUGAUGGUGAAAGGGGGUGAGCCUGCUGAUACUGCACUUGCUGUAACCCUGGCUCAUUCCUCUCAAUGCCUUUGAAGAUUUUUGCGCAGCCAGAGGUGCAGGGAAACCACUCGGACAGGCGCGAAGCAGCCCCAAGCAAGCUCCACCUGUGGCUGCUGCCUGGGCUCUGAGCCACUUGCCCCGGCCUCCUGCCGCAGCCCACAGGCCCCUCAGCGCCCCGCAGCUGUCCAUUUCAGCCGCCCCAGGCUUUUGGUGAUUGGGGAGAGUGCUGUGUUUCUUCCCCGUGGUUUUUGAAAGCCUAAGCACCGGCCAGCUAUGGCCACACUGUUGGUGUUUAGCCUGUAUCUGAAAAAGGUCCAUCAAGACGUGCCAGUAUCAAGUCCAGUGUAUGUUUGAAUUUUCUUAAAAGGCAAAUUCAGAUCAGGUGGGAUGGUGGCUACACACUCCUGCAGACCUUUAAUGAGAAUGCAAGCAACAUUUGGUGCUAGGCUUUGUAUGCACAUUAUUUGUCAUUUUACAGGUAAAAGGACUGGUUUGAAAAAAAAAUAAUUAAAUAAGCAUGAUUAGGAUUAUGAUCUUGGUCUCUUGCUAGCUGUCACACAAUGAAAAUGGACAGGAAAAAGACUGCUGCUCCAUUCUCUCACUUUCUGGUCUCUGUGUUGCCCAGGCUGGCCCGGAACUCCUGAGUUCAAGGGAUCCUUCUGCCUCAGCCUCCUGAGAAGCUGAAACUGCAGGCCCAUCUGUCAGAAGAUCCUUUUCCCCCUCAGUCACUGAAGCCUUUGACCAUUCAGAAAGUUGGUGUGGAAUAGUGCCCCUGGUGGGAGAUGGUGGGAGAGAGAUAAGGAAUGAG